rnacentral:rRNA from 1 species
CCUACGGGUGGCAGCAGUGGGGGAUAUUGCACAAUGGGGGAAACCCUGAUGCAGCGACGCCGCGUGGGCGAAGAAGUAUUUCGGUACGUAAAGCUCUAUCAGCAGGGAAGAAAAAAUGACGGUACCUGUGUAAGAAGCACCGGCUAAAUACGUGCCAGCAGCCGCGGUAAUACGUAGGGUGCAAACGUUAUCCGGAUUUACUGGGUGUAAAGGGAGCGUGGACGGCAGUGGACGUCUGGAGUGAAAGGCGGGGGCUCAACGUCCGAACUGCUUGGGAAACUGUAUGACUGGAGUGCAGGAGAGGUAAGUGGAAUUCCUAGUGUAGCGGUGAAAUGCGUAGAUAUUAGGAGGAACACCAGUGGCGAAGGCGGCUUACUGGACUGUAACUGACGUUGAGGCUCGAAAGCGUGGGGAGCAAACAGGAUUAGAUACCCUAGUAGUC